GCGAUCGAGGGCGCGCCAAACCCGACUCGAAGUAUGUACUGAAAGUCGUCCCGCAGACCAUAGAGGGUGUAAGUCCCGUAGGGUCGCGUCGUUUGGUAGUUCCCGCCGGUCGCUCUCGAGAGUCGGGUUGCUUGUAAAUGCAGCCUUAAGAUAGGUGGUAAACUCCAUCUAAAGCUAAAUACCCCCACGAGACCGAUAGCUAACAAGUACCGCGAGGGAAAGUUGAAAAGGACUCUGAAGAGAGAGUUCAAGAGAGCGUGAAACUACCACGAGCCUAAAGCGAGUGAGCGUUCGUACCCGAAGGGAAAGACGACAAACUGAGCCCCAAGUGCCGUUCUGUGGGGUCGCGAGUCCGCGCCUUAAAUGGAUCUAUCCCGAAGUCGCAGGCCUCAGCGUCUCGGCUUCGUGGGUAGACCGGCGUUCCCUCCUGGGCGGUAUGUAAGGUGCUUGUCUUUUUCCUUAGUAGGGCGUCGUGGCCGUUUGAGAGGUGUCGAAGACCCGGGGGUCUGGGAAACCGUAUCUUCUGGGCGUUCCCACUAAAGUCUCUGUUCGGCUACUACGGUGGUCGUUCUUGAGAGAGG
rnacentral:rRNA from 1 species